CAACAUCGAUGGUGUGAUGGCAGCCCUCAACAUCGUUCACAAUCCAGAUGAGUGGAGACUGUUCAUUGAUUCAUCGAAGACGAGUCUUAAAGCUGUUUUACUGCCUAAUGGCAAUGUUUUGCCAUCAAUUCCAAUUGGUCAUGCAGUCCAUAUGAAGGUAACCUAUGACAACAUGAAACAACUUUUGAGGUGCAUAAACUAUGACCAACAUCAGUGGCAGCUUUGUGGCGAUUUGAAGGUUGUUGCUCUCUUGCUUGGUCUGCAGACUGGAUACACAAAGUACUGCUGUUUUCUCUGCGAAUGGGAUAAUCGUGCAAGAGAUUCCCACUACAUCAAGAAAGAUUGGCUACUCCGACAGUCAUUGGAGCCUGGGAGGAAAAGUGUUCAGCAUCCACCACUUGUUGAAUCAAGGAAGAUUUUGUUACCAUCCUUACACAUCAAGCUGGGUCUGAUGAAGAACUUUGUCAAGGCCAUUGGCAAAACACAAGCAGCUUUCAAGUACCUCCAUGGAAAAUUUCCAAGGUUAAGUGAAGCUAAGAUAAAGGAAGGUGUCUUUGUUGGUCCUCAGAUUCGAGAUGAUGCAUUUGACCAUGCACUGCGUGGCAAGGAAAAGACGGCAUGGAAAGCCUUCCAGUUAGUGGCAAUAAAUUUUCUGGGAAACAACAAGGCAGACAACUACAGGUUGUUGGUGGAAAACCUCCUCAAGGCAUACAAAAGCCUUGGUUGCAACGUGUCACUAAAGAUACAUUUUCUGCACUCUCAUCUAGAUUUUUUUUCACCAAACUGCGGAGCAGUGAGCGACGAGCACGGCGAGCGAUUUCACCAGGACAUUGCAACAAUGGAGAAACGCUAUCAGGGCAAAUGGAGCCCAUCAAUGCUUGCAGACUAUUGCUGGACAGUGACAAGACAUGCUCCAUUUAAUGUUUCAGAGUAGCAGCUGUGUUAGUCUGUAUCCGCAAAAAGAAGAACAGGAGGACUUGUGGCACCUUAGAGACUAACAAAUUUAUUAGAGCAUAAGCUUUCGUGGACUACAGCCCACUUCUUCGGAUGCAUA
rnacentral:lncRNA from 1 species